GAAUGGUGCAGACUUUGAACGUUUUGGGUCCUAAAAUAUAAAUGAAGAUCCUGGAGGCCGAGCCAGUCAAUGACAAACUAACAGGAGGAAGCGCACUGCAUAAAUGCCUACUGUUGAAGUAACUCGAGUUCUUAGGUCCAAAACGACUAGAGAUGUUGAAGACAAAUACAUGUCAAAAGAAGGAAUGUGACCACAAGCAAGCUAGGAGGUAACAAGCACAGUAUUUGGAUGUGAUGGCAUUAACUAUUGGUCGCUUAUUUGUAUGCCUAACAAGUUGGGUGAAAAAUGCUCAUUUGGUAAAAAUUUCUUCAUAGGUUUCCGAAAGGCACACAAGUUGACGGACGUUUGAAAGACCUUCAAGCCAUUGAAGAUUUGGAAGACCUGUAAUUAAGUUGGUGGGGUGAUAAUGUCAUAUGCCUUGUUGAACCUGGAGACUUGCUCUGCCCAUUUUGGUUG